GCUUACGGCCAUACCAGCCUGNNUACGCCCGAUCUCGUCCGAUCUCGGAAGCUAAGCAGGGUCGGGCCUGGUUAGUACUUGGAUGGGAGACCGCCUGGGAAUACCAGGUGCCGUAAGCUU
rnacentral:rRNA from 1 species